GGGAAAAUUCUCUUGAUGAGGGAGAGAUAUGUGUCAGUGGAAGUUGUGUUGCUUCUGGAUACUUCAUUCAUCCUUCUAUUUUGUCACUGGAUAACGUGGAAUUACAUCAAGAAAUAACUGAUGGCAAGAAGGAUGAAAAUGAAGUUUACUUUAGAACCGGGGAUUUCAGCAGAAAGCUUUCAGAUGGAAACCUGGUUUAUAUUGGGAGAAGAGACCGCACAGUAAAGAUCUGCGGGCACCGUAUUGCCUUAGAGGAGGUCGAAAGCAUUCUGAGGGAACAUCAAGAAGUAGCUGAUUCUGCUGUGGUUUCUCGUUGCGUUCAAGGAGAUAUUUUAUUUCUUGAGGCAUAUUUACUGCUCAAGCAAAAGGAAAACAAUCUUGAGGUCUUCAAGUCCACAAUUAGAUGCUGGAUGGCCAGCAAACUUCCCCCAACUAUGAUUCCUGCUCGUUUCUACUUUGUUGAAUCUUUUCCUAGGUCUUCUUCAGGGAAAGUAGAUUACAAGAUGUUGGCCACUUUUGCAGCGUCUGAG
rnacentral:misc_RNA from 1 species